rnacentral:tRNA from 1 species
AUCUUCUUAGUAUAAACAAUACUAGUGACUUCCAAUUACUAAAUCUCAAUUAAAACCUGAGAGAAGAUA